GGCUGUGCCCGGAGUCAUGCCCAGCACAGAAGGUGGCUCCACCCCACUGUGCUGUGUGACCCUGCGCUAGACCUGCCCCUCUCUGAGCCUUUAUUCUCUUCUGCUAAAAGGGAACUUUGAACAGUAACCGCGAUGCCGGGCAGUGGUUCUCAACGGGACCAAAGAGAGGCGUUUUGAACAUUAAGACGCUUUGCUGCUUCUCACCUGAAACACGUAACAGGAACACCAACCUCUUCAGCCGCGGGAAAUCUUCUUUGACACAAAACUCAAACCGAGUCAACCCAAAGUUCCAAGUUCUUUGCUUUCUCUUCUGUGUGUGUGUUGGUUUGUCCCAAAAGUCAGUUUGCAAGUUGAAACUUCAUGAAAUUACUCGUAGCAGAAAUAAAGUACAUUGUACAAAUCA
rnacentral:lncRNA from 1 species